CCCGUGAACCAUCAAGUCUUUGAACGCAAGUUGCGCCCGAGGCUAAUCGGCCGAGGGCACGUCUGCCUGGGCGUCAAGCAUUUUGUUUCUUCGUGCCAUCACCACCCCACUAAUAGGUGUGCUAGUGAUGCUCGAAUGUGAAGAGUGGUUCGCCGUGCCCUUUGGUGCGGCGGACUGAAAAGCGGGUGUUUAUCCUCCCGGCCAUGAUAGACAAAGGGUGGACGAAAGCCACGAGCACGGCCAAACAAUGUCUCAGGCUGGCCAGAGGAAGAUUAUACAUCCAUAGUGAACCCAAACUCAUAUGCCGUAUCGUAAGAGUCGGCUUGGAAUGCGACCCCAGGAUGGGCGGGGCUACCCGCUGAGUUUAAGCAUAUCAAUAAGCGGAGGAGAAGAAACUUAAGAGGAUUCCCCUAGUAACGGCGAGCGAACCGGGAUCAGCCCAGCAUGGGAAUCGAGCUACCAUGUAGUAGCUUGA
rnacentral:rRNA from 1 species